GCAAGACACAAGCCUUUUAUCAUAAAAAGAGAAUGUGUUAUAUUAUAAAAAAUCUUAAAAUUUACAAUUGGAAGAAAGUUGCAUUGAAAAAGCUUGAAGUUAUAUGAAAAAUUUAAGUACAUUUGUGAUUGAUAAAAUUGCAUUAUUUUUGUAAUCUUAAGCGUAGAUACAUACCAAAGUAAAUAAACACAUAUAAGUUAUAAAAAUCGAUAUUAGAACACCAGGAUAAAAAAAGAAUAAAGGAGUUCAUGCACAAGUAGAAGCAAAUAAAACUAGCAUUACUGUAAUAUUUAUCGUCUAGGAGCAUGAUUUACGCUUGUAUAUACCGCAACGUUCAGGUCUAAUCGGUUGGUUUUUAGGUGGCAGACACGACCGAUAUGCGUUUCCCCUGUUGCAAUUCACGAUUGGCUGCAUACGAAUGUUGGAGCGAGAAACCAGAUAUCUGUAGUCCAAAAGCAAUCUACCAAUAUCGGAAUCCAUUAAGAACUCCGAUUCCAUGUUGAUUUCAGCAAUGGUGGCAGUGGCAUUGAUCUUCUCUUUCAGUGAAGCAAAGCUGGCUGCUUGAGAAGAGCAUGUAUCGAGCAGAAUCAUAAGGGCAAUAAGGGUUGCUAAAGAGAUACCUCUCCCCAAAUUUAUUUCCAUGCUUCUUUGUUUUCACUAGGAAAAUUUCAAAGUCCCCAGGAAAAUGUCUUAUAGCCAAAAAGUUUUAGUGUCCGGAUGGGCA
rnacentral:lncRNA from 1 species